rnacentral:misc_RNA from 1 species
GAUGAAGAACGUAGUGAAAUGCGAUACUUGGUGUGAAUUGCAGAAUCCCGUGAACCAUCGAGUCUUUGAACGCAAGUUGCGCCCGAAGCCGUCAGGCCGAGGGCACGCCUGCCUGGGCGUCACACGCCGUUGCCCCCCCCCCAGCGCCUCCCUCGGGAGCGUCGGGGGGGGCGGACGAUGGCCUCCCGUGCGACACCCCGUGCGGUUGGCACAAAUGCCGGGUCCUCGGCGACGAACGCCACGACAAUCGGUGGUUGUCAAACCUCGGUUGCCCGUUGUGCGCCUUCGUCGCGCCACGAGCGGCCCGCGAUAGCGAACGGCUCCGUUCCGGCGGAGCUUUCAACGCGACCCCAGGUCAGGCGGGGUUACCCGCUGAAUUUAAGCAUAUCAAUAAGCGGAGGA